rnacentral:rRNA from 2 species
CCAUAGGUUAAUGAGGCGAACCGGGGGAACUGAAACAUCUAAGUACCCCGAGGAAAAGAAAUCAACCGAGAUUCCCCCAGUAGCGGCGAGCGAACGGGGAGGAGCCCAGAGCCUGAAUCAGUGUGUGUGUUAGUGGAAGCGUCUGGAAAGGCGCGCGAUACAGGGUGACAGCCCCGUACACAAAAAUGCACAUACUGUGAGCUCGAUGAGUAGGGCGGGACACGUGGUAUCCUGUCUGAAUAUGGGGGGACCAUCCUCCAAGGCUAAAUACUCCUGACUGACCGAUAGUGAACCAGUACCGUGAGGGAAAGGCGAAAAGAACCCCGGCGAGGGGAGUGAAAAAGAACCUGAAACCGUGUACGUACAAGCAGUGGGAGCCUCUUAAUGGGGUGACUGCGUACCUUUUGUAUAAUGGGUCAGCGACUUAUAUUCUGUAGCAAGGUUAACCGAAUAGGGGAGCCGAAGGGAAACCGAGUCUUAACUGGGCGUUAAGUUGCAGGGUAUAGACCCGAAACCCGGUGAUCUAGCCAUGGGCAGGUUGAAGGUUGGGUAACACUAACUGGAGGACCGAACCGACUAAUGUUGAAAAAUUAGCGGAUGACUUGUGGCUGGGGGUGAAAGGCCAAUCAAACCGGGAGAUAGCUGGUUCUCCCCGAAAGCUAUUUAGGUAGCGCCUCGUGAAUUCAUCUCCGGGGGUAGAGCACUGUUUCGGCAAGGGGGUCAUCCCGACUUACCAACCCGAUGCAAACUGCGAAUACCGGAGAAUGUUAUCACGGGAGACACACGGCGGGUGCUAACGUCCGUCGUGAAGAGGGAAACAACCCAGACCGCCAGCUAAGGUCCCAAAGUCAUGGUUAAGUGGGAAACGAUGUGGGAAGGCCCAGACAGCCAGGAUGUUGGCUUAGAAGCAGCCAUCAUUUAAAGAAAGCGUAAUAGCUCACUGGUCGAGUCGGCCUGCGCGGAAGAUGUAACGGGGCUAAACCAUGCACCGAAGCUGCGGCAGCGACACUAUGUGUUGUUGGGUAGGGGAGCG